CCGCGACCUCGCGCAAGACGUCCCUCCGCACGCCCGCCGCCCAGAUUUUACGGCAAGUGCAGUGAACGAUGAGAAAUCAACAUGAUGAAUGAUGAGUCGGACAGGAAAAGACGCCGGAACCAAAGAAAAAAUAAUUUUCAAUAAACGGCGCAAGCAGAGAACAUAUCCAGACAGUAGAGGUGAUCGGUAUGCACGCAGGCGCAGCCUGUGUACUGUUCGGGGCUGGCGACCUCUGCAUAUCGACCGACAGCGGCGAGACAGCUAGGGCACUCGCCGUCUGCUGCCACUACCACUGCAGAUGGAAUUCGGCUGCUGGCUCGCGUGGUAUGCUGGGAUGAUCUGGACACGGACUACAUUCUGUUCGAGUUCGGGGGAGACCCUGCAAGAAACAUACUGCUCUGUUUAACACGCCCUGCAAAUGUUAACGACGCACAUCCGCAGGAUAAAUGCGAAGGAGCCUAACCAGACUGAUUCACUGGUCCAGAGGACAGUGCAGCCACAGCUGCCGCCAGAGGGUGUCAUCACGACACCGCGGGGCAAUCCCAUGGAGACGGAGCCUUCGCCUUAUCCGCCUCCUCUCGUCCUACCGAUAGACCUGGACCCGCCCGCACAGCGGCACUCGCCGCUUCUUCAUCUGGCUCAUGGCAGCCGAAGGUGGACGCGUACCCUUCUGGUCGUUUUCCAGGGGACGUUUCUGCCAGAGUGCAGGCCGGAUGGCGGGGUACAGCCGGAAGCUUGACGUCCCCUGCAGCCACAGCUUCCGGCCCGUCGAGGCGCCCACACUUCUGCAGCCCCCCCCCCGUAGUCGCACCUAUACACGACGACCGUCCGUCGAUUUGUGAGGGAGGAAUGGUCUGGCCUAACCACAAGCGCCGGAACGGAGACGAAGAACGGAAGACCAGAGAAGUUGGUGAGGAAACGUCAGCCAAUAGCCGCUGACAAGGACCGAGUCGCGCCAGGUGCGCCCCCUGCAAGAAGUGAAUAUAAGCGCCAGCCUCGGCCGCGCAGAUGGGCUCAGUGUACAGACAACAGUGGACAGGAUUCGCCGAGCAGUAUUAGUGACGUGUGUUAACCUCCAGGAACAUUACACAUAGCCAAGGACUCUAAAUUAUAUUGCAUGUCGCCCCUCGUUUGUGACUACUACUUGUAAAUCUCA